rnacentral:rRNA from 1 species
GAGUUUGAUCCUGGCUCAGAUUGAACGCUGGCGGCAUGCCUUACACAUGCAAGUCGAACGGCAGCAUGAUCUAGCUUGCUAGAUUGAUGGCGAGUGGCGAACGGGUGAGUAAUACAUCGGAACGUGCCCUGUAGUGGGGGAUAACUAGUCGAAAGAUUAGCUAAUACCGCAUACGACCUGAGGGUGAAAGUGGGGGACCGCAAGGCCUCAUGCUAUAGGAGCGGCCGAUGUCUGAUUAGCUAGUUGGUGGGGUAAAGGCCCACCAAGGCGACGAUCAGUAGCUGGUCUGAGAGGACGAUCAGCCACACUGGGACUGAGACACGGCCCAGACUCCUACGGGAGGCAGCAGUGGGGAAUUUUGGACAAUGGGCGAAAGCCUGAUCCAGCAAUGCCGCGUGUGUGAAGAAGGCCUUCGGGUUGUAAAGCACUUUUGUCCGGAAAGAAAUGGCUCUGGUUAAUACCUGGGGUCGAUGACGGUACCGGAAGAAUAAGGACCGGCUAACUACGUGCCAGCAGCCGCGGUAAUACGUAGGGUCCAAGCGUUAAUCGGAAUUACUGGGCGUAAAGCGUGCGCAGGC